AGCAGCCGCGGUAAUUCCAGCUCCAAUAGCGUAUAUUAAAGUUGUUGCAGUUAAAAAGCUCGUAGUUGAAUUUCGGGAUUGACUCGAUGGUCGUGCCUUAAGGGGUAUGAACUGUCGCUGUUGAUUUCUCACCUUCUGGAGAAGCUCGAUGUCCUUAAUUGGAUGUCUUGUGGAACCAGGACCUUUACCUUGAAAAAUUAGAGUGUUUAAAGCAGGCAUUUUGCUCGAAUACAUUAGCAUGGAAUAAUAGAAUAGGACGGCAUGGUUCUAUUUUGUUGGUUUCUAGGAUUCACCGUAAUGAUUAAUAGGGAUGGUUGGGGGCAUUAGUAUUCAAUUGUCAGAGGUGAAAUUCUUGGAUUUAUUGAAGACUAACUACUGCGAAAGCAUUUGCCAAGGAUGUUUUCAUUAAUCAAGAACGAAAGUUAGGGGAUCGAAGACGAUCAGAUACCG
rnacentral:rRNA from 1 species